rnacentral:rRNA from 1 species
CGUAGGAGGCAAGCGUUAUCCGGAUUCACUGGGCGUAAAGCGCGUGCAGGUGGCUCGGUAAGUUGGGCGUGAAAUCUCCCGGCUCAACUGGGAGAGGUCGUUCAAUACUACCGAGCUAGAGAGCAGAAGAGGAAGAUGGAAUUCCCGGUGUAGUGGUGAAAUGCGUAGAUAUCGGGAGGAACACCAGUGGCGAAGGCGAUCUUCUGGUCUGUCUCUGACACUCAGACGCGACAGCUAGGGUAGUAAACGGGAUUAGAGACCCCGGUAAUCCUAGCCGUAAACGAUGUGAACUUGGCGUUGGUGGGUUAAACUCCAUCAGUGCCGAAGCAAACGCGAUAAGUUCACCGCCUGGGGACUACGGCCGCAAGGUUA